GACAUACCUUAAUGUUGCCUCGGCGGAUCAGCCCGCGCCCCGUAAAACGGGACGGCCCGCCAGAGGACCCAAACUCUAAUGUUUCUUAUUGUAACUUCUGAGUAAAACAAACAAAUAAAUCAAAACUUUCAACAACGGAUCUCUUGGUUCUGGCAUCGAUGAAGAACGCAGCAAAAUGCGAUAAGUAAUGUGAAUUGCAGAAUUCAGUGAAUCAUCGAAUCUUUGAACGCACAUUGCGCCCGCUGGUAUUCCGGCGGGCAUGCCUGUUCGAGCGUCAUUUCAACCCUCAAGCCCCCGGGUUUGGUGUUGGGGAUCGGCUCUGCCCUUCUGGGCGGUGCCGCCCCCGAAAUACAUUGGCGGUCUCGCUGCAGCCUCCAUUGCGUAGUAGCUAACACCUCGCAACUGGAACGCGGCGCGGCCAUGCCGUAAAACCCCAACUUCUGAAUGUUGACCUCGGAUCAGGUAGGAAUACCCGCUGAACUUAAGCAUAUCAAUAAGCGGAG
rnacentral:rRNA from 1 species